rnacentral:rRNA from 1 species
UACGAAGGGGGCUAGCGUUGCUCGGAAUCACUGGGCGUAAAGGUGCGUAGGCGGGCCUUUAAGUCAGGGGUGAAAUCCUGGAGCUCAACUCCAGAACUGCCUUUGAUACUGAGGAUCUUGAGUUCGGGAGAGGUGAGUGGAACUGCGAGUGUAGAGGUGAAAUUCGUAGAUAUUCGCAAGAACACCAGUGGCGAAGGCGCUCACUGGCCCGAUACUGACGCUGAGGCACGAAAGCGUGGGGAGCAAACAGG